rnacentral:rRNA from 1 species
UGGGGAAUAUUGCGCAAUGGGCGAAAGCCUGACGCAGCGACGCCGCGUGGGGGAUGAAGCUUCUCGGAGUGUAAACCCCUUUCGACUCGGACGAAUGACCCGCAAGGGUUUGACGGUACGGGUAUAAGAAGCCCCGGCUAACUACGUGCCAGCAGCCGCGGUAAUACGUAGGGGGCCAGCGUUGCUCGGAAUUACUGGGCGUAAAGGGUUCGUAGGUGGUGCGGCAAGUUGGAAGUGAAAUCUCUGGGCUUAACCCAGAGGCUGCUUUCAAAACUGCCGCGCUCGAGUGCGAGAGAGGCCAGUGGAAUUGCAGGUGUAGCGGUGAAAUGCGUAGAUAUCUGCAGGAACACCCGUGGCGAAGGCGGCUGGCUGGAUCGCAGCUGACACUGAGGAACGAAAGCUAGGGGAGCAAACAGGAUUAGAUACCCUGGUAGUCCUAGCCCUAAACCAUCAGAACUUGGGGUGGCCCGCGUAGGCGGGUCGUCCCGUAGCUAACGCGUUAAGUUCUGCGCCUGGGGAGUACGGUCGCAAGACUG